AUUGAACGCUGGCGGCAUGCUUUACACAUGCAAGUCGAACGGUAACAGGCCUUCGGGUGCUGACGAGUGGCGCACGGGUGAGUAAUGCAUCGGAACGUACCCAGAGGUGGGGGAUAACGCAGCGAAAGCUGUGCUAAUACCGCAUGUGAUCUGAGGAUGAAAGCGGGGGACCGAGCAGCAAUGUUUGGCCUCGCGCCUUUGGAGCGGCCGAUGUCGGAUUAGCUAGUUGGUGGGGUAAAGGCCUACCAAGGCGACGAUCCGUAGCUGGUCUGAGAGGACGACCAGCCACACUGGGACUGAGACACGGCCCAGACUCCUACGGGAGGCAGCAGUGGGGAAUGUUGGACAAUGGGCGCAAGCCUGAUCCAGCAAUGCCGCGUGAGGGAAGAAGGCCUUCGGGUUGUAAACCGCUUUUGGCAGGAACGAAACGGUGUCCGCUAAUACCGGGCGCUAAUGACGGUACCUGCAGAAUAAGCACCGGCUAACUACGUG
rnacentral:rRNA from 1 species